UACGGAGGGUGCAAGCGUUGUCCGGAUUUAUUGGGUUUAAAGGGUGCGUAGGCGGCUUUUUAAGUCAGCGGUGAAAGUCCACAGCUUAACUGUGGGAUUGCCAUUGAUACUGAAGAGCUUGAGUAUAGUUGAGGUAGGCGGAAUUGACAGUGUAGCGGUGAAAUGCAUAGAUAUUGUCAAGAACACCGAUUGCGUAGGCAGCUUACUAAGCUAUAACUGACGCUGAGGCACGAAAGUGUGGGGAUCAAACAGG
rnacentral:rRNA from 1 species